rnacentral:rRNA from 1 species
CAUUCCGAACACGGAAGUUAAGCUCUUCAGCGCCGAUGGUACUGCAUGGGAGACUGUGUGGGAGAGUAGGUCGCCGCCAAUU